CUCAAUUCAGGACCACGAUUUCUCCCCGUUUUUCCACUUCAGUCCUUUUCAAAGAACAUCGGUCAUCACGGCGAAGGUCGAUGCACUAGCUUACAUAGUAUCCUCUCUGCCGCAGGCGUCGAGUUGGGGCGAGGCUUCAGAUAUUUGUCUCUCAACUGCAAUCAUCAUUGUGCCAGAGUUAUUCUUCAGAAGAUGCUAAAGUGGUUAAGUGUUACCUACCGAAGCUGGUAAAUUUUCAGGGAAGAUAGCCCAGCUAAAUUCAGAUGUUUGGAGCUACAGAUAUUCGGUGCCCAGUCUACUUACAAGAGCUGUUGCAUUCCCGAGAAAAGCAAUUUGGAUAAUACUUUUGACUAGCAGCUACUUUUGUAUUACACUGUACUUAGUGGUUACUCUUCUGCGCUUUCGAUUGGCUUUUGAGGAUGUAAUGGAGUUGCUGAAGGCUGU